CCAGGAGCACAGCUGGGUAGCUAAGUCGGGAAUGGAUAAACGCUGAAAGCAUCUAAGCGUGAAGCCAACCUCAAGAUGAGAUUUCCCAUAGCGUAAGCUAGUAAGAUCCCUUGAAGAACACAAGGUUGAUAGGUCGGGGGUGUAAGCAUGGUAACAUGUUCAGCUGACCGAUACUAAUAGAUCGAGGGCUUGACCAAAUA
rnacentral:rRNA from 1 species